rnacentral:rRNA from 1 species
UUGUCUCAAAGAUUAAGCCAUGCAUGUCUCAGUACAAGCCAAAUUAAGGUGAAACCGCGAAAGGCUCAUUAAAUCAGUUAUGGUUCCUUAGAUCGUACCCACAUUUACUUGGAUAACUGUGGUAAUUCUAGAGCUAAUACAUGCAAACAGAGCCCCGACCGGAGACGGAAGGGGUGCUUAUAUUAGAUCAAAACCAAUCGGUGGCGGGCUCGCUCGUCAUCGUACAACUUGGUGACUCUGAAUAUCUUUUCGCUGAUCGCACGGUCUCGCACCGGCGACGCAUCUUUCAAAUGUCUGCCUUAUCAACUGUCGAUGGUAGGUUCUGCGCCUACCAUGGUUGUAACGGGUAACGGGGAAUCAGGGUUCGAUUCCGGAGAGGGAGCCUGAGAAACGGCUACCACAUCCAAGGAAGGCAGCAGGCGCGCAAAUUACCCACUCCCGGCACGGGGAGGUAGUGACGAAAAAUAACGAUACGGGACUCAUCCGAGGCCCCGUAAUCGGAUUGAGUACACUUUAAAUCCUUUAACAAGGAUCAAUUGGAGGGCAAGUCUGGUGCCAGCAGCCGCGGUAAUUCCAGCUCCAAUAGCGUAUAUUAAAGUUGUUGCGGUUAAAAAGCUCGUAGUCGAACCUGUGUCUCGCGCCGCCGGUUCAUCGCUUGCGGUGUUCAACUGGCGUGUCCGCGGGACGUCCUGCCGGUGGACUUAGCCCGUCAAAAGGCGGUCCAACUUGAAAUCCCACCGCGGUGCUCUUCACUGAGUGUCGAGGUGGGCCGGCACGUUUACUUUGAACAAAUUAGAGUGCUUAACGCAGGCUAAAAUUUCGCCUGAAUACUGUGUGCAUGGAAUAAUGGAAUAGGACCUCGUUUCUAUUUUGUUGGUUUUCGGAACUCCGAGGUAAUGAUUAAUAGGAACAGAUGGGGGCAUUCGUAUUGCGACGUUAGAGGUGAAAUUCUUGGAUCGUCGCAAGACGGACAGAAGCGAAAGCAUUUGCCAAAAAUGUUUUCACUGAUCAAGAACGAAAGUCAGAGGUUCGAAGGCGAUCAGAUACCGCCCUAGUUCUGACCAUAAACGAUGCCAGCUAGCGAUCCGCCGAAGUUCCUCCGAUGACUCGGCGGGCAGCUUCCGGGAAACCAAAGCUUUUGGGUUCCGGGGGAAGUAUGGUUGCAAAGCUGAAACUUAAAGGAAUUGACGGAAGGGCACCACCAGAAGUGGAGCCUGCGGCUUAAUUUGACUCAACACGGGGAACCUCACCAGGCCCGGACACCGGAAGGAUUGACAGAUUGAGAGCUCUUUCUUGAUUCGGUGGGUGGUGGUGCAUGGUCGUUCUUAGUUGGUGGAGUGAUUUGUCUGCUUAAUUCCGAUAAC